rnacentral:lncRNA from 1 species
UGUUUUUAAUUAUUUGAAAAAGCGGGGAGAAAAACUCAACCCUACAGGAGAUGUCCAAACACUACCUUACAAACAAACUCCAAUUUGAAAGAAUAAUACCAUAAAAUCCAAGAGAAAGACACACACAGAGGCAUUCAAUCAAUCUAACAAUAUCCCUGCUACUCUGCUGAUAUUAGUAUAAGUGUAUUAUAUAUUGUCCUUUAUCAUCCUUUUGUAUUCAACUAUUUAGGAUAACCUUGUGAUUAUUAGUUAGCGGUCAUUCUUUUUUAUUGGGGUCGCUUUCUAUAGUUCCCUUAAACACCCUUUGUUAAAUAUUUUUCUGUAAGCAUUUGCA